rnacentral:lncRNA from 1 species
GCCUAGUCCCCGCCGGCCACCUGGGCCUAGUCCCCGACGCGCCCCUGCCGCCCACUAGAGGGCCGAGGUGUUGCCCCCGCGGACGACGGGCGCCUCGCAGGCCCAGCCAGUCCUCUCCGUCGAGGUGCGACACGCAGCGGGGCCUAAAGUGAAAGCUAGCAGCGGGUCGGGCCUGGCGCCCAGGUCACGGCCGGAGGGAGGACGCGCGCGCGCAGCCUGCAGACGGCGCGCGGACAGGGGACUCGGGGAGGCUCGAGGUGACCCCAGGGUCGCCUCACGCCGGCGGCUGGAGGUCGGGGAGUGGGAAGGCGCAGAGCAGGCCCUGGUAACCACUGGGAAUCCGAGCUGAGGGUCCGGGACAGACGCGACACCGCACCACCCGGGGCUGAGCUGAGCCUGGGUGAGAAAGGCCAUAAAUGAUUAUUCUUUCCAGACAUUUGGCAGGGAGAGGGAGAGAAAAGUAGGCCUGAGUCCAAAGGGUUGGAAGAGGAAAAAAGGGUAUUUGGGGUUUGGUUUUGUUUUUAAUUUGUUCCAGUUUGAGGGAGAGACCCGUAGAAUAGUAAAUGGUGCAAAGUCUCAGGAAAGGAGAUGGGAAGGGAGAGAGAGAAGUGAGAGAAGAGGGAACCUCUUCCUGCCAGAGUUAAAGGAUGCUUAGAGAUGAAAAGAUUUUGAAGUGAGGAAGCAGGCAUGUUCCUCUGACCAGCUGCCUGGAUCAUAAACCAGACUGUGCUGGGCACAGAAGCAGCCAAGAACUGAAGAAGGGGAAGUUCAUGUGUAAACAAGGCAAAGCGGCUGGAGGGAAGACUGGAAGACACAUGUUGGGAAGAUGGCAUCCCAGUCAGUGGAGAAAACAGGAUGUUAGGACAUACAGGAAGACAGUGGAACAGUGAGCAGUGGAGAAAGAGCCUCUCCAAGGUUUGGUGUCCUGACACUGGAAUACAGUGGCGUGAGGAAGAGAAGGAGGGAAGUGGGUCCCCAGGACCCAGGAAGGAUCUGAAGCAAGAAUUGAAGUCCACAGGGAGAGAGAAGAGAGAGACUUCAAUGAAGAGAAGGGAGAUAA